CAGCAACACUCCGUGGCAGAUGAUCAAACCGUCUCAAAUUUGCGCUCACUACAGCAAGAAACUCUAACCUAUUCCGGUGUUCUCUCCUUAGUGAGACUAACCAUUAUAUAGACUUAAACAAG
ensembl:snoRNA